AAACCCCCCGACACCUCAGUGGAGACACACUACGGCGUUGGGUUCUUUCUACACGUCUUGUGUCAGGCCAGAAUGAAGGGCGUGUGUCUCCUGCUGGCGUUGGUGGUGGCGGCGGUGGUGGUGGAGGCGCAGGAACAAGACCCAGAUGAUUACAAUGGAGAACCAGGUGAUGAACAAGACCCAGAUGAUUACAAUGGAGACCCAGGUGAUGAACAAGACCCAGAUUAUUACAGUGGAGAACCAAGUGAUGAAGAUGACAGCGACAGUGAUAGCGAGAGCAACGAAAGUGGUACCGGGCGUGGUGGCCCCCCUCCUGGCAGUCCGCCUUUUGGUCGCGCUAAUGCCAGGGCCCGCGCCAGGGCUGGAAAGUAAGACGAAGAUCCAGACUUCCAGACAACUAACUCUUCAUGAGGCAAGACAGCGCCACACCCUGAUCCCUUCUCCCAUUGGCUCGCUGCACCCACGUGACGUCACACCUUCCUGUUGCACCAAUAAAGAGUCCACCAAUCAGC